UACGUAGGGCGCAAGCGUAUCCGGAAUUAUUGGGCGUAAAGAGCUCGUAGGCGGUUUGUCGCGUCUGCCGUGAAAGCCGGGGCUCAACUCCGGAUCUGCGGUGGGUACGGGCAGACUAGAGUGAUGUAGGGGAGACUGGAAUUCCUGGUGUAGCGGUGAAAUGCGCAGAUAUCAGGAGGAACACCGAUGCGAAGGCAGGUCUCUGGGCAUUAACUGACGCUGAGGAGCGAAAAGCAUGGGG
rnacentral:rRNA from 1 species